rnacentral:rRNA from 1 species
GGAAGGGAUGUAUUUAUUAGAUUAAAAACCAAUGCCCUUUCGGGGCUCACUGGUGAUUCAUGAUAACUCCUCGAAUCGCAUGGCCUUGUGCCGGCGAUGGUUCAUUCAAAUUUCUUCCCUAUCAACUUUCGAUGUUUGGGUAUUGGCCAAACAUGGUUGCAACGGGUAACGGAGGGUUAGGGCUCGACCCCGGAGAAGGAGCCUGAGUUACGGCUACUACAUCCAAGGAAGGCAGUUGGCGCGCAAAUUACCCAAUCCCGACACAAGGAGGUAGUGACAAUAAAUACUGAUACAGGGCUCUUUUAAGUCUUGUAAUUGGAAUGAGUACAAUUUGGAUCCCUUAACGAGGAACAAUUGGAGGGCAAGUCUGGUGCCAGCAGCCGCGGUAAUUCCAGCUCCAAUAGCGUAUAUUAAAGUUGUUGUGGUUACCAAGCUCGUAGUUGAACCUUAAGCCUGGCCGUCCGGUCCGCCUCACCGCGUGUACUGGCUCGGCCGGGCCUUUCCCUCUGUGGAACCCCAUGCCCUUCACUGGGCGUGGCGGGGAAACAGGACUUUUAC